UGGGAUAGCUAGACGACCGCGCGUUAUCUGCGCUUUAGAGUGCAGAUGGCUCGAGGAACGUCCGGGCUCCACAGAGCAGGGUGGUGGGUAACACCCACUCGGGGUAACCCGCAGGCUAGUGCCACAGAAAACAGACCGCCUCUUUUUCCUUCGGGGAGUGAGGUAAGGGUGAAACGGUGGUGUAAGAGACCACCAGCCGUCCAGGUGACUGGAUGGGCUAGGUAAACCCCACUCGGAGCAAGGCCAGACAGGGCGCGUUUGAGGGCUGCUCGCCCGAGUGUCCGGGUAGGCUGCUGGAAGGCAUCGGCAACGGUGACUGUAGAUGGAUGGUCGUCGCGGCGUCGCCGGUAACAGCGUCGCUGAACAGAACCCGGCGUAUCGGCUAUCCCAUCCG
rnacentral:RNase_P_RNA from 1 species